rnacentral:rRNA from 1 species
UUCGAAGCAACGCGAAGAACCUUACCAGGCCUUGACAUGCAGAGAACUUUCCAGAGAUGGAUUGGUGCCUUCGGGAACUCUGACACAGGUGCUGCAUGGCUGUCGUCAGCUCAUGUCGUGAGAUGUUGGGUUAAGUCCCGUAACGAGCGCAACCCUUGUCCUUAGUUACCAGCACGUUAUGGUGGGCACUCUAAGGAGACUGCCGGUGACAACCGGAGGAAGGUGGGGAUGACGUCAAGUCAUCAUGGCCCUUACGGCCUGGGCUACACACGUGCUACAAUGGUCGGUACAAAGGGUUGCCAAGCCGCGAGGUGGAGCUAAUCCCAUAAAACCGAUCGUAGUCCGGAUCGCAGUCUGCAACUCGACUGCGUGAAGUCGGAAUCGCUAGUAAUCGUGAAUCAGAAUGUCACGGUGAAUACGUUCCCGGGCCUU